rnacentral:rRNA from 1 species
AUUGAACGCUGGCGGCAUGCCUUACACAUGCAAGUCGAACGGCAGCGCGGACUUCGGUCUGGCGGCGAGUGGCGAACGGGUGAGUAACAUAUCGGAACGUGCCAGGAAGUGGGGGAUAACUAGUCGAAAGAUUAGCUAAUACCGCAUACGCCCCGAGGGGGAAAGUGGGGGAUCGCAAGACCUCAUGCUUGCUGAGCGGCCGAUAUCUGAGUAGCUAGUUGGUGGGGUAAAGGCCCACCAAGGCGACGAUCAGUAGCUGGUCUGAGAGGACGACCAGCCACACUGGGACUGAGACACGGCCCAGACUCCUACGGGAGGCAGCAGUGGGGAAUUUUGGACAAUGGGGGCAACCCUGAUCCAGCAAUGCCGCGUGAGUGAAGAAGGCCUUCGGGUUGUAAAGCUCUUUUGUCCGGGAAGAAAUCCCACCUGCUAAUACCGGGUGGGGAUGACGGUACUGGAAGAAUAAGCACCGGCUAACUACGUGCCAGCCGCCGCGGUAACAC